rnacentral:sRNA from 4 species
GAUCUUGCGUCUACGGCCUGCGCGCCCUUGCGUAAGGCUGAUGGCUGGUGGCUGGAGCCACCGGCCU